rnacentral:rRNA from 1 species
AGUGAACGCUGGCGGUAGGCCUAACACAUGCAAGUCGAACGGCAGCACAGUAAGAGCUUGCUCUUACGGGUGGCGAGUGGCGGACGGGUGAGGAAUACAUCGGAAUCUACUUUUUCGUGGGGGAUAACGUAGGGAAACUUACGCUAAUACCGCAUACGACCUACGGGUGAAAGCAGGGGAUCUUCGGACCUUGCGCGAUUGAAUGCGCCGAUGUCGGAUUAGCUAGUUGGCGGGGUAAAGGCCCACCCAGGCGCCGCUCCGUAGCCGGGCUGAGAGGCUGAUCAGCCACACUGGAGCUGAGACACGGUCCAGACUCCUACGGGAGGCAGCAGUGGGGAAUAUUGGACAAUGGGCGCAAGCCUGAUGCAGCCAUAGCGCGUGGGUGAAGAAGGCCUUCGGGUUGUAAAGCCCUUUUGUUGGGAAAGAAAAGCAGCAGGUUAAUACCCCGCUGUUCUGACGGUACCCAAAGAAUAAGCACCGGCUAACUUCGUG